rnacentral:rRNA from 2 species
AGAGUUUGAUCAUGGCUCAGAACGUACGCUGGCGGCACGCCUAACACAUGCAAGUCGAACGAAGUAGCAAUACUUAGUGGCAGACGGGUGAGUAACAUGUGGGUAUCUACCCUUUGGCCUGGAAUAACACGAGGAAACUUGUGCUAAUACCGGAUAAGUCUUUACGGAGAAAGCUUUAUGCACCAUUGGAUGAGCCCGCACUUGAUUAGUUUGUUGGUAGGGUAAUGGCCUACCAAGACUAUGAUCAAUAGCUGAUUUGAGAGGAUGAUCAGCCACAUUGGGACUGAGACACGGCCCAAACUCCUACGGGAGGCAGCAGUGGGGAAUCUUGCACAAUGGAGGAAACUCUGAUGCAGCGAUGCCGCGUGAGUGAAGAAGGCCUUUGGGUUGUAAAGCUCUUUCGUCGGGGAAGAAAAUGACUGUACCCGAAUAAGAAGGUCCGGCUAACUUCGUGCCAGCAGCCGCGGUAAUACGAAGGGACCUAGCGUAGUUCGGAAUUACUGGGCUUAAAGAGUUCGUAGGUGGUUGAAAAAGUUGGUGGUGAAAUCCCAGAGCUUAACUCUGGAACUGCCAUCAAAACUUUUCAGCUAGAGUAUGAUAGAGGAAAGCAGAAUUUCUAGUGUAGAGGUGAAAUUCGUAGAUAUUAGAAAGAAUACCAAUUGCGAAGGCAGCUUUCUGGAUCAUUACUGACACUGAGGAACGAAAGCAUGGGUAGCGAAGAGGAUUAGAUACCCUCGUAGUCCAUGCCGUAAACGAUGUGUGUUAGACGUUGGAAAUUUAUUUUCAGUGUCGCAGGGAAACCGAUAAACACACCGCCUGGGGAGUACGACCGCAAGGUUAAAACUCAAAUGAAUUGACGGGGACCCGCACAAGUAGUGGAGCAUGUGGUUUAAUUCGAAGAUACGCGCAGAACCUUACCAACACUUGACAUGUUCGUCGCGACUCUAAGAGAUUAGAGUUUUCGGUUCGGCCGGACGAAACACAGGUGCUGCAUGGCUGUCGUCAGCUCGUGUCGUGAGAUGUUGGGUUAAG